rnacentral:rRNA from 1 species
GCACGGGUGAGUAACACGUAUCCAACCUGCCGAUGACUCGGGGAUAGCCUUUCGAAAGAAAGAUUAAUACCCGAUGGCAUAGUUCUUCCGCAUGGUAGAACUAUUAAAGGAUUUCGGUCAUCGAUGGGGAUGCGUUCCAUUAGGUUGUUGGCGAGGUAACGGCCCACCAAGCCUUCGAUGGAUAGGGGUUCUGAGAGGAAGGUCCCCCACAUUGGAACUGAGACACGGUCCAAACUCCUACGGGAGGCAGCAGUGAGGAAUAUUGGUCAAUGGACGAGAGUCUGAACCAGCCAAGUAGCGUGAAGGAUGACUGCCCUAUGGGUUGUAAACUUCUUUUAUACGGGAAUAAAGUGAGGCACGUGUGCCUUUUUGUAUGUACCGUAUGAAUAAGGAUCGGCUAACUCCGUGCCAGCAGCCGCGGUAAUACGGAGGAUCCGAGCGUUAUCCGGAUUUAUUGGGUUUAAAGGGAGCGUAGGCGGACGCUUAAGUCAGUUGUGAAAGUUUGCGGCUCAACCGUAAAAUUGCAGUUGAUACUGGGUGUCUUGAGUACAGUAGAGGCAGGCGGAAUUCGUGG